rnacentral:lncRNA from 1 species
GUAAUACACUUCUUAGAAUAGUAUGCUUGCAUUAAGGGUGGGACUGGGGAGAAAUAUGAAAUGGAAAAGAAAAAAAUUUUGAACUCUGGAUGUAUCCAAAUUUCAGAGAAUUACCCUUUAAAGGCUAAAGCAAGACUGUGAAAGAACAAUUUAGAUUAUUAGGCUUUUACAACCAAGCAUAAAUACCUAUGUCUUAGUUCUUCAAGUAAAAGUUCCAAAUGGAACAAGCAAAAUUAAAAGGCCCAAAUUUGUAUAUUGGUAACAUGGUGAUUACCUUGAUUCCUGUGACAAAAUCCGUAGAUUCUUCGAGUGAUUCAAGAGAGAAAUUCUACUUGAAAUUCUUG